CCUACGGGUGGCUGCAGUAGGGAAUAUUGCACAAUGGGGGAAACCCUGAUGCAGCGACGCCGCGUGAGCGAUGAAGUAUUUCGGUAUGUAAAGCUCUAUCAGCAGGGAAGAAAAUGACGGUACCUGACUAAGAAGCCCCUGCUAACUACGUGCCAGCAGCCGCGGUAAUACGUAGGGGGCAAGCGGUAUCCGGAUUUACUGGGUGUAAAGGGAGCGUAGACGGCUGUGCAAGCCAGAUGUGAAAGCCCGGGGCUCAACCCCGGGAGUGCAUUUGAAACUGGGUGGCUGGAGUGUAGGAGAGGCAGGCGGAAUUCCUAGUGUAGCGGUGAAAUGCGUAGAUAUUAGGAGGAACACCAGUGGCGAAGGCGGCCUGCUGGACGAUGACUGACGUUGAGGCUCGAAAGCGUGGGGAGCAAACAGGAUUAGAUACCCUAGUAGUC
rnacentral:rRNA from 1 species